AGCAAACGCUGGCGGCGUGCCUAAUACAUGCAAGUCGAACGGGGAAAGCUUUCGGGUGAGUACUAGUGGCGCACGGGUGAGUAACGCGUGGAUAAUCUGCCUUAGAGUGGGGGAUAACUAGUCGAAAGAUUAGCUAAUACCGCAUAAGACCACAAGAACUGCGGUUCAAGGGGUCAAAGGUUUUUCGCUCUAAGAUGAGUCCGCGUAAGAUUAGCUAGUUGGUGAGGUAAUGGCUCACCAAGGCGACGAUCUUUAACUGGCCUGAGAGGAUGAUCAGUCACACUGGAACUGAGACACGGUCCAGACUCCUACGGGAGGCAGCAGUAGGGAAUAUUGCACAAUGGAGAAAACUCUGAUGCAGCGACGCCGCGUGAGUGAUGAAGGCCUUCGGUUCGUAAAGCUCUGUCGCAAGGGAAUAACACAAUGAAUGUACCUUGCAAGAAAGGAUCGGCUAACUUCGUGCCAGCAGCCGCAGUAACAC
rnacentral:rRNA from 1 species